UAUUAUAAAAAAUAAAACAAGUAAACUUUAUUCUAUUAUGAUAAAAAAAAAUUUUAAUUUUUGAACCAAAUUUAAAUCUGACCAAAACCUUAAAUGAUGAAAUUCAAGGUCAAUCUUAAUUUUUUUAAUUAAACCUUAUUUAUUUAUCUAAACUAAUGACUGCAUAAAGGCCCGCUGGGACUGACAUUAAUUAAAGCUAGAGCCUAGAGCAGCAAUGGAAAAAAUGGUUUCCAUUGAGACUUAGGCUGCAACUAUAAUGGAGGCAUUGAUGGCUUCCAAAUGCAGCCAUAAAAUCACUAACUGCAAAUUAAUAACAUCUCUAAGGAAUUACAACAAAAAUCUCCAAUUUCUAGAGGAAAAUACCACCUCCCUGCAUCAAUAUUUCCUUUGCACUCACUAGACCAGAUGAAACCUAAAAGAAACCCACAAACUAUGCUGCUCCCAACCUUUAUAUAUCUCAGUUGCCAGUAAUGGUGACAUGGGGUGAUAUUCUUCUUGUUGCUUGGGCGGGUACCGGGUGGAUGGUGAUGAAAUCUGGUAGCAAUCUAGUAGAUACUUUGCUUACCUUGGGAUCACAUCACCCCAAUAAUCAAGUAUGAAAUUACCCUAAGGCCAAGAACACCCUACAAAGAUUACACAAGAAAAUACAGUAAGAAAUCAAUUGAUAGACAACAAGCAAUGAAAACAGUUGGCAAGACAAGACAAGCCCCAAGCUUAAUUUCCACUAACAAUAACCUGCAUGAGGUUAAACAAAAUGUUCUUCCCAAGAAGACAUAACUUUUAUCAUUAUUACCCAUUAAGGCUAAGCGAUGAAUAGAAUGUCUGUUCAUACCUCAUUCCCCUUGCCCGCCUCUACAUAAUAAAUAAAAGAGCAAUACAAAAAACAGGUCUGUUAUAUUUUAAUGAUCACAUUGCACAUGAUUAUUCACGUCCAUCCUCCAUGAGAUAUUAAAAAAAAAACAGAUUAGACAUGUGACAUGAUUAUUCACGUCAUUCUCCGACGCCCCCUAAUCUUUUUCCUAUGACAAAUCCUUCAUGCUCCCCACCUCAGCUGCCGGUAAGCGCUUACUCAACUAGCAUACCAGAAAUUACAUUAACAAGGUCAUUAAAAAACAAAAACUAAAUAUAAAAUACAAGCCCUAGAUUCUUCAAGGGUCCAAUUGAAAACUUCAAUUUGAAAACUUCAAUAUGAUACUUACAUUUUUCAAUUCUUUUCUUGAAAAUGUUUUACGCUAAUGUCAUCUAAGUGCAUACUUAUGUACGUAGAUGUGUGUAUGUGCGUACAAAAAAAAAAAAAAAAAACAAACAAACAUAACGAAGACAAAGCAAAUACGAAGAUGUAGGAGUUCCCGAACUCCAAGAACUUGAAUAAAUAUAGUUCAGAGAGACUAACAAAACUCCAAAUUUUUAUAUAAGCAUCAUUGAGGAUCCCCUUAACCCAUCAUUAUUGGGAAAGGAAGGAGUAAUACUGAUGCUAACAAGGGAAGAAAACCAUUAAAUUCCAUUGUCACAGCAACCUCUCGUCAAGCCCUUGAAAUCAAACGUGGGGAAAUUCCUUGGAAACUAACUAUUGUUAUAAAACAUGGGUCUGAUUGAAAUUUUUUACCUUUCGUUUUUGCUGAUCUGGGUGACCAACUGGCGGUGACGGUGGAUCAAACUGGAAGAGCAGAAAAUCGAAUAAAAAACCGUAUAA
rnacentral:lncRNA from 1 species